AACGAACGCUGGCGGCAGGCCUAACACAUGCAAGUCGAACGCCUCAGCAAUGGGGAGUGGCAGACGGGUGAGUAACACGUGAGCAACCUGCCCUGGACUCUGGGAUAAGCGCUGGAAACGGUGUCUAAUACUGGAUAUGAGCCUCUAUCGCAUGGUGGGGGUUGGAAAGAUUUUUCGGUCUGGGAUGGGCUCGCGGCCUAUCAGCUUGUUGGUGAGGUAAUGGCUCACCAAGGCGUCGACGGGUAGCCGGCCGGAGAGGGUGACCGGCCACACUGGGACUGAGACACGGCCCAGACUCCUACGGGAGGCAGCAGUGGGGAAUAUUGCACAAUGGGCGGAAGCCUGAUGCAGCAACGCCGCGUGAGGGAUGACGGCCUUCGGGUUGUAAACCUCUUUUAGCAGGGAAGAAGCGUGAGUGACGGUACCUGCAGAAAAAGCGCCGGCUAACUACGUGCCAGCAGCCGCCGUAAUAC
rnacentral:rRNA from 1 species